rnacentral:rRNA from 1 species
UGAGGAAUAUUGGUCAAUGGACGCAAGUCUGAACCAGCCAAGUAGCGUGCAGGAUGACGGCCCUAUGGGUUGUAAACUGCUUUUAUAUGGGGAUAAAGUGGGGAACGUGUUCCCUUUUGCAGGUACCAUAUGAAUAAGGACCGGCUAAUUCUGUGCCAGCAGCCGCGGUAAUACGGAAGGUUCGGGCGUUAUCCGGAUUUAUUGGGUUUAAAGGGAGCGUAGGCCGUUUGGUAAGCGUGUUGUGAAAUGUAGGAGCUCAACUUCUAGAUUGCAGCGCGAACUGUCAGACUUGAGUGCGCACAACGUAGGCGGAAUUCAUGGUGUAGCGGUGAGAUGCUUAGAUAUCAUGAAGAACUCCGAUUGCGAAGGCAGCUUACGGGAGCGCAACUGACGCUGAAGCUCGAAGGUGCGGGUAUCGAACAGG